CCCUGGUUAGCCAGUUGGUAGAGCUAGCGCUCCACCUGUAAUGGAGAGGUCCCGGGUUUGAUACCCGCACCAGGCG
rnacentral:tRNA from 1 species